GCCCUAUUAACAUGUCUUCUGCUGGGAUUGGGUGUCUGGUGGUACCUUCUGUCAGAGCCCAUAUUGGUUCAACCAACGGCUGCUGCUCACCUGAGUGCGCUAGUGCAAUUAAGGAAGCCGCACAAUGCCAAAUGAGGUCUCUGGGCUUCCCGUGUAUUCAUCCAAAUUAGAUCCAUGAGAAAGUUAUGGACACGUUUACGAAACUGGAAGUCUUUCGAUCCCAUGCAGUCAAU
rnacentral:misc_RNA from 1 species